UACGGGGGGUGCGAGCGUUGUCCGGAAUCAUUGGGCGUAAAGAGCGUGUAGGCGGCCCGAUAAGUCCGCUGUGAAAGUCCAGGGCUCAACCCUGGGAUGCCGGUGGAUACUGUCGGGCUCGAGUACGGAAGAGGCGAGUGGAAUUCCUGGUGUAGCGGUGGAAUGCGCAGAUAUCAGGAGGAACACCAAUAGCGAAGGCAGCUCGCUGGGACGUUACUGACACUGAGGCGCGAAAGCGUGGGGAGCGAACAGG
rnacentral:rRNA from 1 species